UACAGAGGCCCCAAGCGUUACUGAGAAUCACUGGGUUAAAGGGUGCGUAGGUGGCGCGUUAAGUCCGUUGUGAAAUCCCUGGGCUCAACCCAGGAAUUGCUUCGGAUACUGGCGUGCUUGAGGCUAGUAGGGGUCACUGGAACUGACGGUGGAGCGGUGAAAUGCGUAGAUAUCGUCAGGAACGCCGAUGGUGAAGACAGGUGACUGGGCUAGUUCUGACACUGAGG
rnacentral:rRNA from 1 species